UACGAAGGGGGCUAGCGUUGCUCGGAAUCACUGGGCGUAAAGCGCACGUAGGCGGACUCUUAAGUCGGUGGUGAAAUCCUGGAGCUCAACUCCAGAACUGCCUUCGAUACUGGGAGUCUCGAGUCCUGGAGAGGUGAGUGGAACUGCGAGUGUAGAGGUGAAAUUCGUAGAUAUUCGCAAGAACACCAGUGGCGAAGGCGGCUCACUGGCCCGGUACUGACGCUGAGGUGCGAAAGCGUGGGGAGCAAACAGG
rnacentral:rRNA from 1 species